GAACUUGGGCGGACCAAGGGACCAACGCGUGUUUUUAGGUGUUGGUUUCAGUGUGGUCUGCUAGCAACGAUUACUAUGCGGUUAUUUGCUAGCCGGUCCACUUGUCCGGGAUAUUAGGCGCUCUGUUUGGUGGUUCACAGUUGCAACGAUGGUUUUCCUGAGGGCUCAACACAUCAAGUUUUUUCAGAGAUGUCUCAACGUACUUCCCAGCGCUAUGUCAUCGUUGGACGAAAUGAGAAUGACUGUAGCAUAUUUCGCGGUUUCUGGGUUGGACCUUCUCAACGCUCUGGACACAAUAGAAAACAAAGAACACAUCGUUGAAUGGAUAUACUCGCUCCAGGUCUUGCCGAAUAAAGAUCGGACUAACCUUGAUCGCUGUGGUUUCAAGGGAUCUCAUGCCACUGGCUUCAAAGGAAACGAUUUGGAUGAUUCUGCAAGCAAUUUUAACUGUGGCCACAUUGCCAUGACAUACACCGCCUUGGCAACACUCAUUAUUCUCGGUGAUGACUUGAGCAGAGUGGACAAGCACGCCAUCAUGCAAGGUCUCAAAGCACUCCAGCAAGAGUCCGGAAGCUUUAUAGCUCUCAUCCACGGAAGCGAGGACGAUAUGCGUUUUGUAUAUUGUGCCGCAGCAAUAUGCAGUCUCCUGCAUGACUGGUCUGGAUUUGACAAAGAAAAAGCUGUGAGCUUCAUUCAGGGCUGCUAUGGAUACGAUGGAGGGAUAUCACCAUAUCCAGGAACAGAAUCACAUGGGGGAUCGACAUACUGUGCGGUGGCCUCACUCAUCCUCAUGGGAAAGCUGCACUCGGCGCUAAGCGAGCGACAACUACGCAGCCUGGAACGGUGGUGUCUGAACCGGCAGUUGUCAGGAUUCCAGGGUCGCCCAAACAAACCCAUUGACACAUGCUACUCUUUCUGGGUGGGCGCAGCCCUGAAGCUCUUGGGUGCAUUCAAGUUUGUGAACCACAAGGAGAACCUAGAAUUUCUCUAUUCAACGCAAGAUCCAAUCACUGGCGGCUUCAGCAAGUGGCCUGACAGUGAUCCCGAUCCGAUGCACGCUUAUAUGGGAAUUGCAAGUUUGUCCCUAAUGGGCGCUGAGAAGGUGGCACCACUCGAACCUGCACACAACAUCAGCCAGCGAGCAGAGCAGCACCUGAAGAAAGUCCACCUCUCGUGGGAGUCACUCGAGCUCAAAGAAAACGGCGUGGGUGGAGCUGGAGACAGAUGAUAGUGUGCCAGACUACCCGAGGCAAUUGCAGUUGUUACAAUGUUAUGAAUGCAGUCGCUGCACCUUUUGACAUAUCGUACUUAGUGAACUUCGACCAUUGUCUUUUACAUUUUUUUUCUUUUCUCAGCUGCGAUGCAAUGCUGGUAACAGCGAGUGCCAGUGGUUGAACAGCGAGACGAUUGUGCAAGAUCGUCUUUUUUAGGUUUUGUUAUAUUCUCUCUGCCACAUUUAUGCUCGUGAUGUUCAGAUUAUCUUUUAAUUCCACUUUGUACAUUUCGUAUACUCUUGCAAUACGUGUGCAUUGUAUCACAGAUUGUUUCGUUCCACAAAAGCAGCCGAGAUACUUGUGGUGAUACACUUGGUUUGAACAGCGUGUCAGCUGGCAUUACACACUGUAUGCUUAGUGUGUGCACUAAUGAUUGUGGGCAUGUGUCCUCAAGGAUUGCGUAUUCAACAAGCCUUGGUGGCUUGCGAUGUUUCUGUGAGCACUUUUGUCGAUUUUGUGCAUCACGCACGAUAUGCCGUGUUAUUGUUCCUGUGGAAUUAAUUCGCACCUCUAUAACUGUGCUGGAAAAUAAUUCUCUUGCACAGAAAUGUUGACCUUUGUACGCGACACUAACCUAUUUAAGAAUGCAUGCGAUUCCUCCGAGCUUACAUUCAUGUUAUUUUGCAGUGUCAAAAAUGGAACAGGUGUGAUAAUAUGAUGUUGCUGAUAUGAUUAAAUAAUUAGGAGUAUAGGUGGUGCGCCAUGCUGCGUGAAGGCUAGUUUAUAGAAAUGUGUACUGUUACGACACACGCAGUUUGCAUGAAUGCUUGUUUCUCUGCUUAUUUCACUGCCGCUGUGAUCACUGUCGAAACCGUUUUAAAUGUUUUGUAGUAUAUGUAGUCUCGCUAGUUCUUGUCCAAACUGCACAACUCUUUUACUCUUGUGUUUGGGCUUCUAGCCUGCAUACUUAUUUAAUUCAGCGACACUUUUCAUGUCCGUGAAAUUUUAGUUUUUUUUGUGCUACUUACUCUAAUCUUUUAGUUCAGCUGUCUUUAUAUGGUAACCACAUGGGUUACUAAAUGUAGACGUUGUUGUUACAUAGUACUAUUAAUUGUUUAUGAUGACGGAGCCAUUGUAUGUAGAUCGGAAGUUGCACUGAAUUAAGCCACAUAUGAAUUAUGAUUAUUUUUAUAUGGUGUGCAGUUUGAUACAUAUCAAUCUUUGCACUGUGUGACACAAAUAGAUAAUUUGAUAAGCACCGAUGUUUUUUUUUUCAAUGUUAAUUACGGAUAUGAAUUAAAACAUUCAGAGACCAGAUAACUUUCUGUUACUACUCAGAUCAUUUAUUAGUUCAUUUGUAGUUUUUGCAACUUGCAUGUAUACCAUGAAAACAAACAUUUGUCUGUCUUUAUUUAGAGCUUGUAAACACUAACGCUCGAAAAAGUAGCCAUGAAAGUAUGUCGGUCACCAGGGAUAGACAUUAAGGUGAUGUGCGUACUGUGUGUCUGCAAACUGUAUGUGUUUUAUACCUCGGAAAAUGUCGGUAUCCAAAGGAGCAAUGAUUUACAUGAGCGAAAUGUCUGCAAUUGUGUAUGUGUUUGUAUCAUUAAUUUUUGUCCAUGCUGAGAAAUGUACGUGGCCCAGAAAGCUGUGGACUAGAACACUACCUCUGGCUUGUUAUGGAGCUAUGGAGCAGGGUUCUUUAUACAAAACACUAUUAUGAGCGCCUCUUGACAUUCACUAAAUAAAGAAAAGCCUCAGCAUUCAUACCAAAACAACACUUUCUUUUCUGCAAGACCUUUCAUACAUACCAGGUUAUGUCCAAAAACAGCCCUCAAGGUAUUUCUGUGGACUGUAGAUAUGUUACUGCCUUGUCGCUUCCCUCGUAAAUAUUGUUUGCACUCCAAGACCUUUUCUUCCUUCAAGGGACACUGGACGGGAUUGUUAAAUUCGUUUAAAUUGAUAAAUGAUUUGCUCGAAACUGUGUUAUCAUUAUUUUUAACUAUUACAGGAGAACAUGAAAAGCAGUGUUUCAUAUUCUUUCAUUUCAAGAUGAAUCCCCAGUGCCAUUACAGCAGUGCGACAUCAUGGAAUUGAAAGUUUUUUUUUUUGUUUAGGACACUUUGGUUCUUUAUAAGUUUAUGAAACUUGCUAAGUUCAGUAUUUGGCUGCAAUGUAUUUAGUUGUUUACCACUAAAAAAUUUACUGGCAUAUAGUUGAUGAAAGCAAAUAGCG